rnacentral:rRNA from 1 species
UCGACAUACGACCGGUAACCGCCCAGAGAGUGGGUCGCCCUUUGUGGUCGGUGUACAGGUGGUGCAGUGGUUGUCGUCAGCUCGUGUCGUGAGAUGUUGGGUUAAGUCCCGCAACGAGCGCAACCCUCGUCCUAUGUUGCCAGCGGGUCAUGCCGGGGACUCAUGGGAGACUGCCGGGGUCAACUCGGAGGAAGGUGGGGAUGACGUCAAAUCAUCAUGCCCCUUAUGUCUUGGGCUUCACGCAUGCUACAAUGGCCGGUACAAAGGGCUGCGGUACCGCGAGGUGGAGCGAAUCCCAGAAAGCCGGUCUCAGUUCGGAUUGGGGUCUGCAACUCGACCCCAUGAAGUCGGAGUCGCUAGUAAUCGCAGAUCAGCAACGCUGCGGUGAAUACGUUCCCGGGCCUU